GUUUGAAUCAUGGCUCAGGACGAACGCUGGCGGCGUGCUUAACACAUGCAAGUCGAACGGAAAGGCCCUGCUUUUGUGGGGUGCUCGAGUGGCGAACGGGUGAGUAACACGUGAGUAACCUGCCCUUGACUUUGGGAUAACUUCAGGAAACUGGGGCUAAUACCGGAUAGGAGCUCCUGCUGCAUGGUGGGGGUUGGAAAGUUUCGGCGGUUGGGGAUGGACUCGCGGCUUAUCAGCUUGUUGGUGGGGUAGUGGCUUACCAAGGCUUUGACGGGUAGCCGGCCUGAGAGGGUGACCGGCCACAUUGGGACUGAGAUACGGCCCAGACUCCUACGGGAGGCAGCAGUGGGGAAUAUUGCACAAUGGGCGGAAGCCUGAUGCAGCAACGCCGCGUGCGGGAUGACGGCCUUCGGGUUGUAAACCGCUUUCGCCUGUGACGAAGCGUGAGUGACGGUAAUGGGUAAAGAAGCACCGGCUAACUACGUGCCAGCAGCCGCGGUGAUACGUAGGGUGCGAGCGUUGUCCGGAUUUAUUGGGCGUAAAGGGCUCGUAGGUGGUUGAUCGCGUCGGAAGUGUAAUCUUGGGGCUUAACCCUGAGC
rnacentral:rRNA from 1 species